AAGUAGUCAUUAUUCAUUUUAGGGCUUGUAUAGCCAUUGACGACUCGUUUUACUCUGUAUUGGUGCGAAUUCUCACCUUGUGAUUUCCUGUUCCUCAUUUGAGCCAUUGAGAUUAGGCCCUAGAAUUGAUUUGUGUCUAUGAUUGCCUUAUUGACCGGCUCCAAAUUGUGGAUGCUAGGCAAUUUGUGCUUUUGCUGUAUUCGGUUCCAUUGCUUGCAUGUGAUUGCAAAAUUGACAAAUAAAUCCGUGGGUUGAUUAGAAGCAAUCGAUCGGCCUACUCCCUCCCGCCUCGACUAUUUCAUUCUAUCGCUAGAGCAUUGUGGUAAUGGAACAACAUCCCAGGUUUUGUUUUCCAUGAGUGAUUUAUACUCCUCUUGAAUGGCCUCUUUCCAAAGUUUACAUUCUGGGCAGGACAUUGCGUCAUUAAUGCUGAUUGGGAUGUAUAGUUCCAGGAGAAGAGCACUAGCUGGGUUAUACGGUGUUGAUGGAUCAUGUUCUAACACCAUUGUCUCAAGGACUGCCCUCGUACCUUCUUCUAUUUCGGAUCCAUCUGAUGUGUCUUCCUUGUAGUUUACGUAGGGUAGUUGACGUUUUGAUCUUCUUGUGGGCUGUUCUUCUAAAGGUUGAGGUAUGAUUGACAUGUCAUUAAUUACUAGUGCCUGUUACAUAUCAAUCUCAGCAUUGAUAUGUUGUUCCGCAUUUGGCUCCCAAUUGACUGCCCUAAUCACUUCUCCUUCUCGGUUAUCGAUGUCCGCCCAUCUAUUCUG